CAAAAGGUUCUUGCAUUUCGGGAUAUCAAUCCUCAAGCUCCUGUUCAUGUUCUAAUUAUCCCGAAGUCGAGGGAUGGAUUAACAGAGCUUGGAAAGGCUGAACAAAGACAUGAAGAUAUAUUGGGCAACCUCCUUUAUGCUGCCAAGAUAGUAGCGGAGAAAGAAGGCAUCGUAGAUGGUUUUCGAGUUGUCAUUAAUAGUGGUCCCUCAGCAUGUCAAUCUGUAUACCAUCUUCACUUGCACGUACUUGGCGGAAGACAGCUGAAAUGGCCCCCGGGUUAGAAUCAAGCUUGGUUGGGAGCAAGUACUCCAUUUAUCUGCAUUGAUGUAAUAUGACACGUGUACCGAUGUUCAACAUCUGUGUCAUGCAAUAAGUACUAUUGUUAGAUGUGAUUCAAGUAUAUUUGGUGAAUGACUACAGAUACUUCUCUUCAUUGCAGUAACCAGACUAACCGUG
rnacentral:misc_RNA from 1 species